AUAAAGAAAAGCAUACUUAAAUAAAGAGCACACAAAAAUAUCUAGCAAACUACAAUGGAUAAAAGUGUCAUGAAAAACAUGAAUAAAAAUUAAAAGUUUUUGCCCAUAAGGGACUUGUUUCCUCCUCGCAAAUUCUCAAAAUUAAAACAGAGCAUAAAUAUAUGGCCACUGAAUGUAUGCAUAUGGUUUGCGGCCAUGUAGCAUUUAUAGGAGAAAGUUGGGCUCUGGAAGGCCCAGCCCAAAAGAAUUGGCCGGAAUUAAAGACUCAUUCACCUGAAGAUGCAUCCAUAUCUUGCAGGCCGAUCUUGUGGACCCCAAGUGAUAGGGAUGUUAUGACUCUUAUCCUUAUCUGUCCCUUCUGAUCGGUUGCAUCACCUUCCCCCGGAACAUGCUCUCACAUUCUUAAUUCCCCUUGUCUUUUUGUACCUCCAUCCGAAUGUUAAUGGAUUAUGUGCAAUACUUAAGUAAAAAGCUUGGGAACACUCAAGCAACUUCAAACUUCAUUUUAGCUUAAUUUUGUAACAUGUUGCUUCAAGCUCUUAAUGGCCUUGAAUUUAUGCUCAUACCUCUUUCAUAAAAUGCAACCCACGCACAUAAAUGUACUGGCCAUACCCAAAAGACCUCUUUCAUCGGACUGUGCCCUCCCAGCCACAAGAAUACAAGAAAAGACUCUAUUUAGACCUAAAAACAAACACAAAAACAUUAUAAACUUGGGGUCAUCAUAGACCUAAAAAUAAACACAAAAACAAGCACAAACUUAGGGCUCAUAAGCAAUGAACAAAAGGAAUUCGACCCUUGGAGUUGCAAGGAAACAAUGUGAGUCAAGAAUGCAGAUUUAUGGUGCACCUCCGUGGAUUCAGAAAUCGAUUUCAUAGUUGUUAUGUUGUAUACGUUGAGAUUAUGCUACUAGAAGGCUGCAAAGCUACAAGUAACAAAUGGAUAUACAAGAGGGAGGGAUAAAUGGAUAGUAAGGUAAAUAACAUAUGUUUAACUCCAUAAGGAUAUUCUUCACCAUAACAAUCUAUACGAAACUUGAGAAUUGAGAUUAAUUUGGUAAACUUGAAGACCAUGUGAAAGAAGGUUUAAAGCGAUCUCAAGGAAAAUUGAAGAAGUAUUUUAGAGACUUAAGCCUAGGUUCUAACUUGGAUCUCUCGUUUUGACAAGGCUAGCUAUCAAAAUUCUUAGGAUUUAACCGAUGUCUUAGAGUUCCAGAAUCGUUAUAAUGUCAACACAUAUCAUGCCUUACCCAGAUAUUUUAAUUAAUAAUUUGUAUAAUAGUUCGCUGAUUCACUUCAAUUAAUCUAAAUUUGAUAAUAGUGUCAUUUUCAGGUGCGGACUUAUGAUUUUAGAAAGUGUGAAUAUAUGAAUCUAGCCUAUUUCAUAUUGUAAACUUAAAAUUUAGCCUAUAGGAUUAAAAUUUAAAAUUUUAGCCAGUUUUUGCGUGAAAUGUCCGAAAUGCCCUUGUAUAAAUAGUGAAUUCUGCCAUUUGCCAUGUUGCAGCGUGAAUUCUUCUUCUCUCCUUCAAUCCUCUCUCUCUCUCUCUCUCUCUCUCUCUCCCUCUCCCCUCUCGCUACCCGUCCGCCGCCCGUCCGCAGCGCCGCGCGGCCACUCAAUCUCCGGCAGCACCGCACAGCCACCACCACCGCGACGCACAGCACCUCUUUCUCAUCUCCUCCGGCGACCACAACUCCUGCUACAGCCGCCGCCCUCAACAACUCUCCAUCUCUGCUUUGAGCUCCGGCGCCUGAGCCCCUAGCUCCCCCAAAUACCAGUCGCCCUCCACCCCUACCCCUUAUCUCUCUNUUGUAUUUUGGUGUUGUAACCAAUUUGAUUGAGCUGUAUUAAUUAUUUUUUUUAUUGUUCUUAAUUCAUAAUUUAAUUUAUGUUUUGAGAGUUUAUUGUUCUUGAAUUUUAAAUAGAUUUUUGGAUUAGAUUUAAGAAUUCACAGAAUUCACAACCAAGUCGAUGAAUUCACAACUUAAUGUUCAUGAAUUCACAACUAGCUCGAUGAAUUCACAACUUAAUAUUCUUAAAUUUACAAACAAAUCUAUAAAUUCACAAUCAAAAUAAAUUACAGUUUUAAUUGUGAAUUCAAACUUUAAAAACUCAAAUUCACAACUACUUGAAUUCACAACCAAAAUAAAUUCUAGUUGUGAAUUAAAUUCAGAUUGUGAAUUCGACUGAUUGUGAAUUCACAACCAACAUAAAUCUGGUUGUGAAUUAAAUUUUGGUUGUGAAUUCGUUUGGUUGUGAAUUCACAACCAAAAAUUUAUAGUUGUGAAUUAAAUUUUGGUUGUGAAUUCGACUGGUUGUGAAUUAAAUUUUGGCUGUGAAUUCGACUAGUUGUGAAUCACAAACAAAAAAUUCUGGUUGUGAAUUCGGCUGAUUGUGAAUUCUCAAUUCACAACCAGUGUGAAUUCACAAACCUAAAAAAUUUUGGUUGUGAAUUCACACUGGUUGUGAAUUGCGGGUAUUUUUAAAGGGGUGAUGUAAAGUGGCCAUUUUUUUAAUUUUUAAUGUGGAAGGGUAUUUUGGUAACAGUGGCCAUUUUUUUAUGUUUUUAUUUUAGUGGACAAUUUUUAAUUUUACAAUAUGAAAGUGGCUAUUUUCAAAAUCCACUCUUUUAGAAAUGGCCGAGUAAAAUAAUAUUUUUGAAUUUUAAAAUAAAUUUGAAGGGACAAAAUCACAAUUUAUAUAUAACACAUCAAGAAAAAUACAAAUUAUAAUUAAAAUAUAAUAAUAGAAAAAGGUUCCCGAUCAAUGUACGUGAUUUAGAAAUCAUAAUAUAUGUUCAAAGCACAUUAUUAUCUAUUUUAACUUAAUUGAGAAUGAACAAAUUAAGAAGAUCACACAACCGCAUAUUUUACUACUAUUUUUCAUAGAGACAAAGUUUCUUGGUGUAUUAAUUUUAGAAGAAAAAAUAUGCAACAAAAAUUGGCUUCUUUCUUCCCCUCCCCCCAAAAAAACAAGAAAAAAAAAUAAAAAAAAUUUGGUCUCUUUCAGUAUAUAUACCUGAAAGCGAAGCGAAAACAAUCAUGAAGAAGCAAAUUUUUGUUUGUGUGUAUCAAACGAGCCCCGGAGUUCCCCCAAACACUUCACGAGAGCCAAUUGUAUAUAUUUUGGCUCCGAGAAGUGUUUGCAGGGAACUCUAGGGGACGCAUGAACUAAUGUUGAACUCAUCAUGUUCUACUUGUUGUUUCGUUCAAUUCUGUGGCUUUUAUAGGGUUUUUGGACCUCAUAUUCGUACAUCUGUCAUGCUGCUGAGCAGCUGCGAUGGCGAUAGAAUCUUUGAUCCAGAAUGAACCUAGACCACAUUGCAUGUCAGAAACAUGAAAAAAUUUAAGCUACCUACACAGAAUCUUUUUUAAUUCACUGGCCCUCUCUAUAUUCCCCUUACUUUGCUUUCUCUCUUGUUUACAUCAAUAGGAUUUACUUACCAGACUCAAAUACUGUCCAAGUGAUUCCGACUCUUCUUUUAAGCGUCACUUAUGUUGCAACAAAACAUUUCAUGACCCUUUCCACCUCUCAUAUUUCUCAAUCUGCAAGUUAAAUUACAUUUGCUACGUAAGAAGAAGAUAAGCAUCUAUAAUUCUAAUUAUAACUUAAAUCGAUCCCGUUCUUCUUUUUGCUGAGAAUGCGCGUUUGCAAAUAUUUGAGAACAAAAAGUGAAGAAAGAAAAAGAAAAGAAAACAAAAAAAAACCCUAUAUAUAUAGUAGGAGUAGUAUCUUUAGUAUCUGAAUAACCUUGCAAAUUCCUUUCUUUAAUUAAUUAUUCCAUUAAUUCUUUACUAGUCAUUAAGUAUUGGGAUCAAAUCCCCUUAAAAAAAAGUAUUGGGAGGAACCACUAAUUAACCAAAUCACAGAUUUGCUAACUACAAAAAAAAAAAUGGAAAACCAAAAAUUCGAAGAUGUAUACAUUAAAAUUCGUCUAGAAAAAGAUACUAUAAUAAAAUUAAUCACAGAAACCUACAAAACAAUGUUUCAAUAAUUUCCGAUCUGCGCAACUUCAAGAUCGUCAAAAGGCCUAAAUUCAAACUCAAACAUGAAAAUAUCAUGCUCAGCUACCAAAUAUACUAGAUCUGCAUUUUUUACACGCUAUAUAUAAAUAUAAAUACAAAAUUUAUAAAACAAAUAUGCUGCAAAAUCCAAGGUUUUCUCUUUUGACAUUAGCUAGUUAGCUUGAGAAUUAGUUUCAGGUUUUACAUGUUAGAGAAAAAGAGAGAGACCUGAUCAUGCAGAGGGAGUGUCUGGAAAGAACGUAACUGUGUGUAUGUGGACGCAAUUGUGGGAAAUGUGAGGGCCAGUUGAAGAAUCUAGCUUGAUGGAUGUCGCCUGCCCUUUAUCUUAAUCUUCUUCUCUGCAACUCUCUAUAAAAAUAUUUUCUUUGACUUACUCCAACCAAUCCGUUACAAUGAGCAUUUUUCAUGUAGAUAUUAAUCGCAUCAUUCGAUUAAGUUUUUUUUUUUUAAUUUCAACUCAAAGAUAACAAUUUACUUUACCAGAAACCAACAUUACUAUUUGUAAAAUGGCAAAAAAAUAAAUAGGGAAAUACAGUUCUUAGCGUCCUUUUUGUACUGCUGUUUAAAUUUUUGGAUCCUCUUUUAGUGAUAUUUUUGAAGGGAAACUUGUAGUGAGCACUGAAUUAAAU
rnacentral:lncRNA from 1 species